rnacentral:rRNA from 1 species
AGAGUUUGAUCAUGGCUCAGGAUAAACGCUGGCGGCGCGCAUAAGACAUGCAAGUCGAACGAACUUAACUCAUUCUUUUAGUUUGAGAGCGGUUAGUGGCGGACUGGUGAGUAACACGUAAGCAACCUGCCUAUUAGAGGGGAAUAACAGUGAGAAAUCAUUGCUAAUACCGCAUAUGCUAACAGUAUCGCAUGAUACAGUUAGGAAAGGAGUAAUCCGCUAAUAGAUGGGCUUGCGCCUGAUUAGCUAGUUGGUGGGGCAAUGGCCUACCAAGGCGACGAUCAGUAGCCGGACUGAGAGGUUGAACGGCCGCAUUGGGACUGAGAUACGGCCCAGACUCCUACGGGAGGCAGCAGUCGGGAAUAUUGCGCAAUGGAGGAAACUCUGACGCAGUGACGCCGCGUAUAGGAAGAAGGUUUUCGGAUUGUAAACUAUUGUCGUUAGGGAAGAUACAAGACAGUACCUAAGGAGGAAGCCCCGGCUAACUAUGUGCCAGCAGCCGCGGUAAUACAUAGGGGGCAAGCGUUAUCCGGAAUUAUUGGGUGUAAAGGGUGCGUAGACGGAGGAGCAAGUUGGUUGUGAAAUCCCUCGGCUUAACUGAGGAACUGCAACCAAAACUACUUCCCUUGAGUGUCGGAGAGGAAAGUGGAAUUCCUAGUGUAGCGGCGAAAUGCGUAGAUAUUAGGAGGAACACCAGUGGCGAAGCGACUUUCUGGACGAUAACUGACGUUGAGGCACGAAAGUGUGGGGAGCAAACAGGAUUAGAUACCCUGGUAGUCCACACCGUAACGAUGGAUACU